rnacentral:snoRNA from 1 species
GACGCACAAAUCCCUAUUGAGGCAACUGUUAAUAGUUGGCCCCAGUAAGACCUUAUUUAAACAUGUCUAAGUGCGAGAAUAAAAAGACUUGUCGUCGCAUUUGCCAUUUAUCCUUAUAACCACAUGGUAUGGCGAAUUGAAACUUCGAGGCACA